UGCAUUUGCACCUGCAUCUUG
rnacentral:miRNA from 1 species